GACGAACGCUGGCGGCGUGCUUAACACAUGCAAGUCGAACGGAAAGGCCCUGCUUUUGUGGGGUGCUCGAGUGGCGAACGGGUGAGUAACACGUGAGUAACCUGCCCUUGACUUUGGGAUAACUUCAGGAAACUGGGGCUAAUACCGGAUAGGAGCUCCUGCUGCAUGGUGGGGGUUGGAAAGUUUCGGCGGUUGGGGAUGGACUCGCGGCUUAUCAGCUUGUUGGUGGGGUAGUGGCUUACCAAGGCUUUGACGGGUAGCCGGCCUGAGAGGGUGACCGGGCACAUUGGGACUAAGGUACGGACCAGACUCCUACGGGAGGCAGCAGUGGGGAAUAUUGCGCAAUGGGCGGAAGCGUGAUGCAGCAACGCCGCGUGCGGGAUGACGGCCUUCGGGUUGUAAACCGCUUUCGCCUGUGACGAAGCGUGAGUGACGGUAAUGGGUAAAGAAGCACCGGCUAACUACGUG
rnacentral:rRNA from 1 species